rnacentral:tRNA from 1 species
UCCCUGGUGGCUCAGACGGUAAAGCCUCUGCCUACAACGUGGAAGACCUGGGUUCAAUCCCUGGCUCCGGAA